rnacentral:rRNA from 1 species
UAGGGAAUUUUGCGCAAUGGGGGAAACCCUGACGCAGCAACGCCGCGUGAUUGAUGAAGCCCUUCGGGGUGUAAAGAUCUGUCAGUGGGGACGAAACUUGACGGUACCCACAGAGGAAGCAUCGGCUAACUCCGUGCCAGCAGCCGCGGUAAUACGGGGGAUGCAAGCGUUGUCCGGAAUCAUUGGGCGUAAAGAGUUCGUAGGUGGCACGUUAAGUCUGGUGUUAAAUGCAGGGGCUCAACCUCUGUUCGGCACUGGAUACUGGCGAGCUUGAAUGCGGUAGAGGUAAAGGGAAUUCCUGGUGUAGCGGUGAAAUGCGUAGAUAUCAGGAGGAACAUCGGUGGCGUAAGCGCUUUACUGGGCCGUAAUUGACACUGAGGAACGAAAGCCAGGGUAGCAAAUGGG